rnacentral:lncRNA from 1 species
GGGAAUCCUACCCACUUCUGUUGUCUUUCUCUUCACCAGUGAGCCCUUCCUCUGGGCUGGGUGCUGAGCUCUGUACAGGCCAUGCCUUGUUCAAAGCAACUCCACAAGCAACUUUACUGAUCCUUCUGUGCCCAGUCCUGGGCGAACCACGUGGCACCUAGAAAUGAUGGGACACGCCCCC